AUUGAACGCUGGCGGCAUGCCUUACACAUGCAAGUCGAACGGCAGCACGGGUGCUUGCACCUGGUGGCGAGUGGCGAACGGGUGAGUAAUACAUCGGAACGUACCUUAUCGUGGGGGAUAACGCAGCGAAAGCUGUGCUAAUACCGCAUACGCCCUGAGGGGGAAAGCGGGGGAUCGCAAGACCUCGCGCGAUUAGAGCGGCCGAUGCCUGAUUAGCUUGUUGGUGGGGUAAAAGCCCACCAAGGCGACGAUCAGUAGCUGGUCUGAGAGGACGAGCAGCCCAACUGGGACUGGGACACGGCCCAGACUCCUACGGGAGGCAGCAGUGGGGAAUUUUGGACAAUGGGGGCAACCCUGAUCCAGCAAUGCCGCGUGAGUGAAGAAGGCCUUCGGGUUGUAAAGCUCUUUUGUCAGGGAAGAAACACCGGCUCUAACACAGUCCGGGAAUGACGGUACCUGAAGAAUAAGCACCGGCUAACUACGUGCCAGCCGCCGCCGUAA
rnacentral:rRNA from 1 species